UAGGGAAUCUUCCGCAAUGGGCGAAAGCCUGACGGAGCAACGCCGCGUGAGUGAUGAAGGUCUUAGGAUCGUAAAACUCUGUUGUUAGGGAAGAACAAAUUUGUUAGUAACUGAACAAGUCUUGACGGUACCUAACCAGAAAGCCACGGCUAACUACGUGCCAGCAGCCGCGGUAAUACGUAGGUGGCAAGCGUUAUCCGGAAUUAUUGGGCGUAAAGCGCGCGUAGGCGGUUUCUUAAGUCUGAUGUGAAAGCCCACGGCUCAACCGUGGAGGGUCAUUGGAAACUGGGGAACUUGAGUGCAGAAGAGGAGAGUGGAAUUCCAUGUGUAGCGGUGAAAUGCGCAGAGAUAUGGAGGAACACCAGUGGCGAAGGCGGCUCUCUGGUCUGUAACUGACGCUGAUGUGCGAAAGCGUGGGGAUCAAACAGG
rnacentral:rRNA from 3 species